UACGAAGGGGGCUAGCGUUGUUCGGAAUCACUGGGCGUAAAGCGCGCGUAGGCGGGCUGGUCAGCCAGGGGUGAAAGCCCGGAGCUCAACUCCGGAAUUGCCUUUGGAACUUCCAGCCUAGAAUCUCGGAGGGGAUGGCGGAAGUCCUAAUGUAGAGGUGAAAUUCGUAGAUAUUAGGAGGAACACCGGUGGCGAAGGCGGCCAUCUGGACGAGAAUUGACGCUGAGGUGCGAAAGCGUGGGGAUCAAACAGG
rnacentral:rRNA from 1 species